GUGACGCCCGGAUAAUUAAGCUACAGUAAUUCCCUGCUAAUGAUGCCACGUCAUCACGGUUACUAUUGUCGAUCUCGCGAUGGUUCAAAACCGAUUCAAAUUCAAAAUCAAGCAAACAAUAAAACUUUUCAAAUAUUGAAACUAAAAUGUUCGGGUUGUGCCAAAUAAUGUGUAGGUAAUUAUGGUGAAGAAACCAAACUUCUAUAAAUUAUUCCAAUGCACUAAAAUAAUUAAAACAACAGCUAAACCUAUUAUAAAUGCCCUUUUGAAAUUUAUAAAAAUGCGAACUAAAUAUUUUAAAAAUACCAAAAUAUAUUAUGGAAGGGGGCUAAUUUACAACCUCCAUUUAGGUACUGGUCUUAUAAAUUUACAAAACUGAAAACUAUUAAAAACUAUAAUAGAAAACAGAAAAGUAAAAUAAAAUAAAAACAGAAAAGAAUAUACAAAAAAAAGGACCCCCCACUAGGCCUCGGCCCAGUUGGCCAUCGGGCCAACCAGGCCGGCCCAGCUGGCACCUACAACACCCCCUGGGGCGACCGAACCCUAGCCCGGCCACCCCACUCCCCCCGCACAAUCCCCACCUCUCCCCUCGUCUCCCUCACCCGCCGCCACCCCACGACGCCCACUCCCCUCCUCGCUUUNNNNNNNNNNNNNNNNNNNNNNNNNNNNNNNNNNNNNNNNNNNNNNNNNNNNNNNNNNNNNNNNNNNNNNNNNNNNNNNNNNNNNNNNNNNNNNNNNNNNNNNNNNNNNNNNNNNNNNNNNNNNNNNNNNNNNNNNNNNNNNNNNNNNNNNNNNNNNNNNNNNNNNNNNNNNNNNNNNNNNNNNNNNNNNNNNNNNNNNNNNNNNNNCGUGGCCCGACCGCGCACGCCGCCCCGCCACUGGACCUCGACCUCGCCGCCUGGGACGCCGCUCGACGCGGGAGCCCCUUCGCCGCCUCGACCACGCCUCGUCCUCGCCGGCUCCUCUCGGCCUCCUUCCUCUCUGCCCGCGGCGCCAUCGUCUGCUACCUCCUCUUCGACCACGAGCACGAGCUCGGGACCCCGUCGUCGCUGGACUAACGCCGCCCGUCGCCGGAUCUCCCUCGUCGGACUUCCCCCGACCUCUGUCGAGCCCACUGCCACGGUCCCUACUCCCCACCGUGAGGCCCUCCCUCCUUCUCCUAUGCCCCACCCCGCACUGCAUCGCCGUGCAAGCCGCUCGGGGCCGCGCCUCGCCCCCCGCCCACUGCGCCGUUGCUGCCUUACCCCGCACGCGCCGUCCCGCGUGCUCCGCUGGCCUCCUUGUCGCGAGCCUCGUGCGCCUCCCCCCUGCUCGUUGCUGCUCCGGCGCGGCUCCGACCGCGCCACCGCGCAGCCACCGCGCUCUCCGUCCCUGACCGGCGCCCACUGCGUGUCGUCCCACGGCGCUCCCCGCCCCUGUUGCUCCUUCCCCGUGCGACGUGCUGUCGCCUCUCCCCCUCCUGCGCCUUGUCCGCCUUGGCCUCGCCCUCGCCCUGCAACUCGCCUCGCCACCACUGCCUGCAGCUACUGCUGCUCCGCUGCCGUGUGCCAUCUGCCGCGACGGCCCUCUCCGCUACCCGCGCCGCCCUGCUCCGGCUGCGGCCGCGACCGCCGGUGCCCACAGGGUUGUUGCCCUUCACCCCAGCGCCAGUCGCCGCCUCUUCGGUGGCUCGCCGGAGCCCCGUCCGCCCCAUCGUGGUCGCCGUUCCCCAACCGCGCCCAAACGGGAUGGGCGUCAGCCUCAGCGCUUGGAACCCGUCUACCCAGCGCCCGUUAAGGCCGCUGGGCCUAUGACAGCUAGGCCCCACCCCCCAUGUGCCAAUGACAGGUGGGCCUAGACCCAGAACGAAAACGAUUUAUAAAAAUAUAUAUAAUUAAUUAAAAAUAAAUAAAUUAGUAAUAAGUAAAUAAAAAUGUUAAUUAAUUAAUUAACUAAAUUAAUUAACUUAAUUAAUCCUGUUUAAUUAAACUAAUUAAACAUUAGGUACCUAGUUAACUAAUUAAACUGAUUAAUAGGUUAAUUUGGUUAUUAUACCUAUGACAUGUGGGACCCACACGUCAGCGACCCAGUCAACACCUCUGUUGACUGCUGACAUCAUGCUGAUGUCAUGAUGACAUCAGCAUGUACUGUUCUGGAUAAUGUUAGAAUUAAGUAAUUAAAUAAAUCCUAAAAAAUGAUUUAAACCUUUUAAAAUUAAUAUAAAAUAAAUCGUAACCCGGAUGAAAAUACUUUGUACAUGAAAGUUGCUCAGAACGACGAGACGAACCCGGAUACGCAGCCCGUUCAUCCGCCACGCAUCCCUAACCUAUCCAACUCGCAACUUUCCCCCUCCGGCUCCUCUGCCCGAAAACGCGAAACGCCAGGGAUACUUUCCCGGAUGUUUCCCCCCUUCACUGGUAUCACCUCAUACCGCGUUAGGGCACGCCUAGCACCACGGUUUGCUUUGUCAUGCAUCGUUAUGCAUCUGUUUGCAUUGUAUUUAUUGUUUCUCCCCCCUCUUCUUCCGCUAGACACCGAGACCGACGCCGCUGCUACCCAGUACGACUAUGGAGUUGACGACACCUCUCUCUUGCCAGAGCAACCAGGCAAGCCCCCCCCUUUUGAUCACCAGAUAUCGCCUACUCUCCUCUAUACUGCUUGCAUUAGAGUAGUGUAGCAUGUUACUGCUUUCCGUUAUUCCUAUCCUGAUGCAUAGCCUGUCCUUGCUACUACUGUUGUUACCAUUACCUGCUAUCCUACUGCUUAGUAUAGGAUGCUAGUGUUCCAUCAGUGGCCCUACACUCUUGUCCGUCUGCCAUGCUAUACUACUGGGCCGUGAUCACUUCGGGAGGUGAUCACGGGCAUACAGUAUACUUUGCACAGUUACCUUACCUGUGAUACUGUUCGGAGAUGGGGGCUGAAGGGGCAGGUGGCUCCAUCCCGGUAGAGGUGGGCCUGGGUUCCCGACGGCCCUCGACUGUUACUUUGAGGCGUAGCGACAGGGCAGGUUGAGACCACCUAGGAUAGAGAUGGGCCUGGCCCUGGUCGGUGUUCGCGGAUACUUAACACGCUUAACGAGAUCUGGGUAUUUGAUCUGAGUCUGGCCGUUUGGUCUAUACGCACUAACCAUCUACGCGGGAGUAGUUAUGGGUAUCCCGGCGUCGUGGUAUCAGCCGAAGCCUUCGUGACGUCAGCAACGGAGCGGCGCGCGCUGGAUUGGACUGGAACGCCACUAGGCUAGGUCUGCUUCCGGCCGCCCACGCAACGUGCAGGUGUGCUAAGGGCGAUGGGCCCAGACCCCUGGGCGCUUAGGUUUAGACCGGCGUGCUGACCUCUCUGUUGGUCUAGGUGGGGCUGCGACGUGUUGAUCUUCCGAGGCCGGGCAUGACCCAGGAAAGUGUGUCCGGCCAAAUGGGAUCGAGCGUGUUGGGGUAUGUGGUGCACCCCUGCAGGGAAGUUAAUCUAUUCGAAUAGCUGUGAUCUUCGGUAACAGGACGACUUGGAGUUGUACCUUGACCUUAUGACAACUAGAACCGGAUACUUAAUAAAAUACACCCUUCGGUGAUCGCUCUCUCACAGGGCGACGAGGGGAGGAUCAUCGGUUAGGAUUAUGCUAUACGAUGCUACUUGGAGGACUUCAGUCUACUCUCUUCUACAUGUUGCAAGAUGGAGGUGGCCAGAAGCGUAGUCUUCGACAGGAUUAGCUAUCCCCCUCUUAUUCUGGCUUUCUGCAGUUCAGUCCACAUAUGAUAGCCUUAUUCCAUUUGAUACCAAUGCAUACAUAUGUAGUGUAACUCCUUGCUUGCGAGUACUUUGGAUGAGUACUCACGGUUGCUUUCUCCUUCUUUUCCCUCUAUCCCUUCUACCUGGUUGUCGCAACUAGAUGUUGGAGCCCAGGAGCCAGACGCCACCGUCGACGACGACUCCUACUACAUCGGAGGUGCCUACUACUACGUGCUGCCCGCUGACGACGACCAGGAGUAGUUUAGGAGGAUCCCAGGCAGGAGGCCUGCGCCUCUUUCGAUCUGUAUCCCAGUUUGUGCUAGCCUUCUUAAGGCAAACUUGUUUAACUUAUGUCUGUACUCAGAUAUUGUUGCUUCCGCUGACUCGUCUAUGAUCGAGCUCUUGUGUUCGAGCCCUCGAGGCCCCUGGCUUGUAAUAUGAUGCUUGUAUGACUUAUUUUAUUUGUAGAGUUGUGUUGUGAUAUCUUCCCGUGAGUCCCUGAUCUUGAUCGUACACGUUUGCGUGUAUGAUUAGUGUACGAUUAAAUCGGGGGUGUCACAAGUUGGUAUCAGAGCCGACUGCCUGUAGGAAUCCCCUUUCCAACUCCUUGGCCGAAGUUGAGUCUAGUCGAUGAAAACUGUUUUUCUAACAUGGCUGUGCGGCCCAUGGGCCCACGUUGCCAUUGGGUGGUAUUACGAUCUUUUACUCCUCGAUCUUUACUCCGGGAUUCUGAACUCUCUUCUAUUCGGGUUAAAAGGUUUUUACUAAAAUCUAACUUUAGGUUCUCAAAAUUACUUUCUCCCGGAGAGCCCCUUCAGUCCAGAUGAUCGCCGGCUGCACCAGAAGAUAUCGAAGAUACUCUCUGAUAUUCUCUCGAGACCUUGUGUCGUUGCUUUUGCAAUUCCCUUCCACCGAAAUAUCCCUAUGGAUAAAUACUUACACCUGUCGUGCUUACUUUUAUUCCCAGUCGAUCUUGUUAUUAUAAGAUACCCCGAGAAUACUUUGUGCCUACUGCCUUGCAGUUCUUUGCCACAUGCAUACCACUACGGAUAAUUACUCGCAUUUAUCGAGUAUCCGCUCAUCCCCAGAUAUUCAUGCAGUUCACAAAAUUCUUCGAAAUACCAUUCGGUCUUCCGAAAAUCCUGAGCAAGCUAUUGCUCCUGAAAUUCUUGCUUGCUUGCAUUAUGGUUAAUCCCAUAAGUAUAGUAAUCUUAUUGGCAACCCUGUCAAUAUCAUUUUGAGUCCAUUGACUCAAUAUGUUGCGAAGCUCGCAAUCCUCACUCGGAUCAUAGAAUUCAUCCUUCCGGCUCAGAUGUCAUUUAAAACGUGAGCUGGUCCUCGGCCAAUUAGAUUGCCAUCGAUUGUACCCCUAAGUCUAUUCAACUUGUCUGUCCUUGAUCAGAGCGUUUGCUCCUGAUCCCUUGAUUUGAAAAUCAUAAUUCCUUUGUUAUUUAAAUGUUGAAUUAUUCAGAUGUUCUGUAAAACGAUGCAUUUGCAUUCUUUCUUCCUCUGGUUGAGUACCAAUGCUCACGUCAGCUCUGUUAUGGACCGGCAAGUCCUUUAAUGGACUUUAUCCGACACCGUCCUUCAUAUUCAAUAACCUUGUGAGCCUUCCCUCGGAUACAUAAUGCCUUUGGUAAAUUGUAUCAUCUACUUUCUCAACCUUGCUCUACUUUCGAGCUUGUGAUAUUUACUCUUGAAGCUUGUGGUAUAUGUUUCAAAGAAGCCCCUAUGGGUUGAACAUAUGCCUUCUCUAAACUGUGUGAACUCAAAACUUUUCACGAGUCAUACACUUCUAGUAUUUUGCCAGAUAAAAUCUCAACACUACAACUUCUUCGAAAGUGAGAAGUGAAUGAAAGGUUAUGCAUUGGAGAAGUGGGAGUCGACCUUGAACUUUGUGUUUAUGCCGAUGGACACGAUGUAGAUCUUAUCAUUAAAGCUUCUCUUAAAUUAAACUAUUCCUUUGGUAUAAGUUCAUCUUAUAUCCAGGAUCUGGCCUUUUGCAAUCAUGGUUCCGACCAUGUUCUCCUUUAAAUACCAUUUCGCGUGCAAGUUUAAGCGCUUGUCUUCUGUAAAGCAAUACCCCGAUCCAACUUAUACUUUGAUCUGUCAUCAAGUAUUACCCCCUGGUAUCUCGAGGAUACCACGGGAUACAUAACUUCUUAUGAGUUCUUCAUCAACUAAUAUUCUUGCCGAUUCCAUUUCUCCAACGGGUUCUCAGUUGUUAGAACCCCUCAAGGACACCAACAACUGAAUUGAGUCCGCACUACGAUUCAACAACUCUUGGUAACCUUCAUUACUUACGAGUCGGAACUCGAUCACGUCAUUCCGAGCCUACUCGGCUAUGUCAUUAUCGUGCCAAAUUUUAACUGUGCUACCUGGUCCUUCUUUCCGGAGCACAAUUUCGACGAUGGGCUAAGCUUACAUCGAUCUUCCUUGUCUUAUCGUUUCACCUCAAACAACAAGCUUGAUUUCAAGUUUGUGUCCUACCCAUGGUUCCAAUAACCUUCCGCUUCAUCAUUCCUUUGACCUGAUGUCAUCGCUGAUUGAUUACAUCUUCAUGAAAUCUCUCGACAAAUGUGUCGUGAUCAUCAUCGACCUUAUGAGCUCUUCCAGGAUAUCAAUUGAGUUCAUGAUGAGAAAUACUAUCCUUGCCUCCGCUGAUUUGUGUUAUCUUUGACCACUUUAUUGCCUUCCGUUCAACACAAACUUGUUCGUGUUUUGAGUUAUACCUUGAGAUCCUUGCUACCCAGCAUUUGUUCUUCUUUACCUUGGAAUAUUACCACCUUUUAUGUCAAGAAUGUCGUGGUAAUUUUACCACCUCUUGAGAAUUCUUGAUAUAGUAAUAUCUCUCGCCUUUUGUGUUCAUUUCUUGGUCUCUGUGUUAAUUCUAACCGGAAUACCGACAAAUGGUCUGUGAUGUGUAAAUGCUAAACUUCUAGCAACCCUAUUGCUUUGAGGUUAUUGGUCUACAGUUUCAUUCUAAGUCUAUUGCUUAUUGAAUUAUCAUUCGAACAUUGAUCGUGCUACCUAGUCUAGAUUCCUGGGUGCACCCUUCUAUCAUUGUUCAGUUGUGUAUGCUUCCCUCGAGCAUACAUCAUUAUAUCAUUUGAUCCGACAAAUGAUAUUUCCUUGUUCACAUAAUUGUGGAAAUCAAUCCUUUGGAAAUCUCGAUGAUUUUUGCUGAGCCUAUCAGCCACCUCCUCAUCCUCUCCUUGGUUUACUGAUGAACUCUUGUGUCGGAACUCGCUCCCAUAGUUCAAUUCCCGAGAAUCUGACAAUGUCAUCUCGACAAUUUGUGUUGCACCUCUCUUCUCAGGCAUCCCGAGUCUGCGAUAUCCUGGCGCCAAUCAGAACUGGAUCUCGGUCAGAUAUGAUGGUUGGAACAUAUUUCAAAGAGUUUUCUACAUUAUAUCAUGUCAUGGAUAUUAUGCUCUGUUUGUCCUUGGGAAGGAUAUACCCUUGAAAUAUGUCUGUAUACACAUUUUCCUUUCCAUUGUUCUGGUUAAACCUGAUAAUUUCUUUUCCUUUCCAUGGGUUUGUUUAAACCUCCUUGUGAUCUAUAUUAUAUAAGCAGUAAUAUUUCCCUGCUUAUGUAAACACCUCGUUGUACCACUCUGUCAGUAAGACCCUGUUGCUAUUGUUGAUGACACUUCGGUAGCCACCGAUGAAUGAGAACUUUGCCUAUUGGUCCGCCUCGAUCCACGAGCAGGAAAAAUGGUUCUCUUCGUCCCUCGCCCUUGGUCCCGACGUUGUUGCCGACAUGACCAAUAGACUAUCCCCUGACAUGCCUUGCUUACAUGAUCGUGCAAAAUGUCACCAACCUUCCUACUUUUAACCGCAUGGUGGGCCCAUAACCCAUAGUUCCAUAUGGUCGAAACCUGACUCUCCUGUACACCUUGUUAACAAAGUUAUCCCUUGCUCUUGGUUUCGUAGGUAAUUCGUGAGCCACCUCCCUAGUGCUCCAUUCUGGUAUCAGACGCAAUACUUACUCUCGCUGCUCUGAACCCUUUCUCACUAUGGUUCAGACCUUGAGCAACUAUCUAUCCGCUUGGACCCUCUCAUUGUACCUUCGUACAAUACUCUUGAUGUAUUUUAUAUGUUCAACUCGAGAGGUAGUCUUAUGCUCAUUCAUGGGUUAACCCCCAGAUUGUUUCCCUCAAAGGCAUUCUGUCAUAGCUGAGCUGCCCCUUAUCCUUUCUUAAGUACGAUGGAGUUCCCGAAGAAAUGAUGACAAGUUUAUCAUGAUGCAUUGGAAUAAAGAAUUGAAGACAUCAACAAAAGGGAUUAACAUCUUCGAGAAGAUCCAUCGAAAUAUAAUAACCGGAACAUUCCCACUUACUCCCCUCUUAAAUCUCGGGACGAGAUUUCUUAUAGUGGAGGAGAAUUGUGACGCCCGGAUAAUUAAGCUACAGUAAUUCCCUGCUAAUGAUGCCACGUCAUCACGGUUACUAUUGUCGAUCUAGCGAUGGUUCAAAACCGAUUCAAAUUCAAAAUCAAGCAAACAAUAAAACUUUUCAAAUAUUGAAACUAAAAUGUUCGGGUUGUGCCAAAUAAUGUGUAGGUAAUUAUGGUGAAGAAACCAAACUUCUAUAAAUUAUUCCAAUGC
rnacentral:lncRNA from 1 species